rnacentral:lncRNA from 1 species
UCUGCAGCUUCACUCCUGAAGCCAGUGAGACCACAAACCCACCAGAAGGAAGAAACUCUGGACCCAUCUGAACAUCUGAAGGAACAAACUCUGGACACACCAUCUUUAGGAACUGUAACACUCACCGCAAGGGUCCGUGGCUUCAUUCUUGAAGUCAGUGAGACCAAGAACCCACCAAUUCCGGACACAAUACUAUUGGAUGUAUGUUUGUCUGGUGUUUUCUUUGAAGACAGAAUCAGAGAGGCUCAGCAAGUGCCAGAACUCAAAUUCAAGUGCAACUCUGCCUGAUGGAAACUCAGGUGAUUUCCACUCUGCCUCCACCUGCAUUCCUCAGCACCAUGCAGUUGGUCCCCAGACUCUAUGCUCCAUGCUGCUUGUGUUUGUUGGUUGGCUGGUUUUGUGUUCAUGUGUUCUGGCUUCUUCAUUUUGGGUCUUUACAUCUUUACAUCUCUAGCAGUUCUUCCCAUGUUGUGUAGCAGUUGUCUCUACAUGACGGUCUGUCUUGUGAGGUUGAGCUCCCUGAAGGCAGCAAGCAUGUAAUUGGUAAAUUCUCAUCAGUUAGCCAUGUCUGGAACAUGGUAGGUAUUCAAUAAAGGUUUUUGCUCA